AAUUUCUUUAAUACCCCUACAUGGCAGGGUGGAUGACCGUUUUAAAGGACGCGCACAAACUCUUCCGAAGAUGUGAUUUAUAGAAAGAAAUGAUCCGAGCACUUGACAUGAGUAAUAUCUGAUUUAAAUAAUGAUUUGAGAAUAAAACUGAAAAAUGAAUAUCACUAUCUUAGAAAAUGAGCCAAAUACAACUGUAUUAAAUAAUCUACAGGCCCAGGUGAUGUUUUUUUGGUUGUUUUUUUGUUUUUUAAAAAAAUAAAAUUCAAAUGAAAAAUCAAUGUUGCAUAAAUAUAAACUGUAUGUUUUGACGUGUUUUGCCAUUUGGGGCAACCAACAAGUUGACUGCACGCAAGUGCUGGAAUAUUCAGAACGUCAUUAAUCACACUUUGUUAGUUUAAGCCCUUCGUUUUAGGGAGAGAAAAAAAGUCGGCCGGGAAUUGAUGUAUUAGUCAGCUGGCUGCAUCAAAUCGAGAAGGAUCAAUGAUGUGGACACUUUUAGUUUCCGGGAACCAUAAGGUCGGCUCAUGCCCCCGCAUCUCUCAGCCGAGCGGAGUAGCACACACGUACGCUCACACACUAGUGCACGGCUCUGACUCAUGUAGAAUGAAGGGUUCGCACCAUGGGAAAAGUGUCACCAGGCGUAGGGUACGCAUCGUAACAUUUCACUUUUCCCCUUAACUGCACACUAUGUGGUUUACUACUCCUUUCGAAGCAAAAACACCUUUAUGAUUUCGAGUUUUUUUAUAUAUAUAUAUAUAUACAUAAGUAUGAAAGGUGUAAUUUGCUCAGUGCAAAAUAAGUGACAACAUGUAAUUUGGCUUAGAGACAGAGAUUUUUACAAGUAUUUUUGACGUUUUAUCUAACGUUCUUGAGGGCAACCAAAUCAUUUUCACAUGCUAAGAGGACUUUGAUGACUGUUAUUUCAAACUCAUAAAUAUUCCUAACAGAGCUGAUCCUUUUGUUGCCCGUCUCUACCGGGUUUUUUUUUUUUUCUUUACCCAGUAGUGCAUUCCUUGCUUUAUAAUAUGAGUGGUUUAGCUCUUUGCAUGGUGAGCAUAGCAAGCUUCUCUCCAGUCAGAAUGAAUGAGCAACCCAAAGCAGCCUAAAAUACAGUCAGUUAGUUUGUCUCUCAGUCAUUUAGAUGGCUUCUUUCUGCCUAAUUACCCUUGCCAUGUGUAAAACGGAGUGCUGUGGGCCAACACUUCAUUUUCUACAUGCUUGCACUGUAUCUGCGUCGGGAAAAAAAGCAUCUGGCAAAAGAAUAAAUGUAAAUGCCAUAUCUUAUAUUUCCACAGUGGUUGAGUCAUGGGGGGGGAAACAUAUUGACUGUAAACAUGGUUGUAGGGAAUCGGUUUAGGAAAAGAGGAACAAGCACUUGCAUUGUACAUGAACAACAGUUUACUUGCUGAUAGCGAGUGCAACCAGCUGGAUGUAGAGCAGGAUGAGAGAGAGAAAAAAAAAAAAAAAAAAACAGAAGCUUGUACCGAGCAAGAACUUAACCGAAUUCUGUAGAGUAAGGAAAGAAGAAGGUAUCAAAAUAUAGAAAACUGUUUUGUGUGUGUGUGUGUGUGUGUGUGUGUGUUAAAUCAGUACGAUUGUACACCUGGGGCUUAUUCCCAUCGAAUCAUAUGCUCCAUAGAUCUUGCCUCAGGGUGUAUUAUCCAUGUGAGCACACACACACACACACACACACACACACACAGAAACACACAGUAGCAGGCAUUAUUUUUAUGAUUAGUGGGCAACACAAGGUGCUUGGUACCCUUUUGUUUCCGUGAGAAUUUUUCUGCCACUUAAAAAAAAAAAGUAGAAAGUAGAAAGAAUCAUGCUUGACUAGCCUGAUGGUGGCGCUGUCGUGCAGCAUCUUACAUUUUAGCCCAAAUCUCGAGACAUGUGAGUUGUAGAAACAUUUUGGUUUUAACUCGGCUUAACGGGAACAAACUUACAAGUGGGAUCGUUAAGCUCCGCCUACCUCGAUGCUUUGCAUGAAAUGCGAAACCUACUUUGGCAAGCUAGGAAAGCUAGUCCUAGGAUUUUUGGUGUAUCUUCAUAAUGUUGGUGUCAAAACACUCAUCGCUGUCUGAGACUCGGCGAACAAAAACAUCUCCGCAGAGGGUGCUUGGGCCCCACAGAUUGCUCCUUUAUAGAUAGCUAUAUUUAUUAUUAUUAUUGUUAUUAUUGCUGUUGUUUUCGCUGUCACAUGUGAUGCGGGUGCUUUGAUGGUCUUUAUUGAUUUUGUUGUCAUUAAAUUGUGUAUUAUGUCUUUUAUGUAUAAGCCCUAUAUUCACACUCCUAGAUUCGGUGCCUUGCUACCCGUCUCCAGUAAUUGCACUGCUUUGGAGUUAUUUUUAGGUGGCUUAAAUGGACAAGUAAAAGCUUGAGAGAAAAAGAAAGAAAAAGAGAGAGAGAGAGAGAGAGAGAGAGAGAGAGAGAGAGAGGUUUGAACAAUGUGCUGAGUUCACUAAUGGGGCUUCAAAGUAUCCUUUAAAUGAAUCAAGGUCUUUCACAGUCAUCAGGCAGGUAACAGAGAACCUGUCGUUCCCACCCACUCACUGAUUAGUGAUUCAGACUGAAAAUGGGGGAAAGAGAAAUAUAUAUCUGUUCUGUCAUUUAAAGUUUGGUGUAACUUAAUAUUGAUGGGUGAAACUGGGCCAUAUGCUUUAAGUUCAGUUUUGACAGUUGGGACACUGGUAUGUAAUUAAAGAGUGGAUUCAUAGUUUGCGGCUGUUUAAUAACUUCUUCUGGUUAUAUCCAGCAUAACAUGAAACAAAAGCACAUAUUCUUUACAUAUGGUACUGUUUUCCUACACUUCAUAAUAGAGUGUACUAUAUCUCAAAAUAGGCUUCAGGUUCUACUGUUUACUGUAAAUGUUUGAAGAAGAAAAAAAACAACAACACUUUUUGCACUGCCACUCUGUAUUCUGAAUAUCCUUACUAAUGGCCAAAAGUGGUUCAGCAUGCUCUAAGCAGCAUGUAUUGAUAUUGUUGAACUUGGCAAGGCUGAUUACAUUCAUGCUAUGUUGGCCUGAUUUGUCUCAUUUAAUCUGAAUGUUUGUAUUGUAGUGCAUUUCAGUCCUAUACAAUAAGGUCAGCAGUAGGUUGAAGUGCUUUGGGGGGUUGGAGGGGGGUUGGUCUGG
ensembl:lncRNA